GUUCUUCAACUUUUGAAACCGUCACGGCGGAAUCGGCGCACGGCUCUCCAACUCCAAUCCCCGGUACGCCAUCCGGAGUAGAUUCUGUGCGUAUCGUCUUCUUGCCGGACGCCGGUUCUUCUUGCUCUUCUCUUCUGAGCGAGUGUUCUUGUCGUUCGGGCCAGCAGCUUCCCGUUGAUUUGGUACUAUGCGUACAUCUCCUCUCUGCUUCUCAAUUCUCAUGCUUCUCAUGUUUUCCUUUUUUCAAAAGGAGGAUUACCUCCGGUCUCAUGCAUACGGCCCCACAUACUCCUUUCUCAUGUGAGAACUGAGAACAAGUUCGAUUCUUUUAUCGCCUAAAUAAAAUAUUUCAAUUCUUUUAGGUCUUAGUAGUAGUAGGUUAUUGUACCAGAUUGUACGGUUGUGGUACCGUGUUUAGGCCAGUAGCAUAUCGAGAUCAUCUCUGGCGUUUGGUGGGUGCGGCCAGAUUUGGGUCUAAGUUUUGACUUUUGGAUGCUUAUGGUGCACGCUUCUUCGGUUUGUUUGCGGUUUGUAUUGUACUACUACUACUGGUUCAUGCAAACUAGUGGUUGGGGC
rnacentral:lncRNA from 1 species